rnacentral:rRNA from 1 species
CUUGCUUUCUUUGCCGGCGACCGGCGCACGGGUGAGUAACACGUAUCCAACCUGCCCUUUACUCGGGGAUAGCCUUUCGAAAGAAAGAUUAAUACCCGAUGGCAUAAUGAUUCCGCAUGGUUUCAUUAUUAAAGGAUUCCGGUAAAGGAUGGGGAUGCGUUCCAUUAGGUUGUUGGUGAGGUAACGGCUCACCAAGCCUUCGAUGGAUAGGGGUUCUGAGAGGAAGGUCCCCCACAUUGGAACUGAGACACGGUCCAAACUCCUACGGGAGGCAGCAUG